GCCUAAUACAUGCAAGUCGAACGCUUUUUCUUUCACCGGAGCUUGCUCCACCGAAAGAAAAAGAGUGGCGAACGGGUGAGUAACACGUGGGUAACCUGCCCAUCAGAAGGGGAUAACACUUGGAAACAGGUGCUAAUACCGUAUAACACUAUUUUCCGCAUGGAAGAAAGUUGAAAGGCGCUUUUGCGUCACUGAUGGAUGGACCCGCGGUGCAUUAGCUAGUUGGUGAGGUAACGGCUCACCAAGGCCACGAUGCAUAGCCGACCUGAGAGGGUGAUCGGCCACACUGGGACUGAGACACGGCCCAGACUCCUACGGGAGGCAGCAGUAGGGAAUCUUCGGCAAUGGACGAAAGUCUGACCGAGCAACGCCGCGUGAGUGAAGAAGGUUUUCGGAUCGUAAAACUCUGUUGUUAGAGAAGAACAAGGAUGAGAGUAGAACGUUCAUCCCUUGACGGUAUCUAACCAGAAAGCCACGGCUAACUACGUGCCAGCAGCCGCGGUAAUACGUAGGUGGCAAGCGUUGUCCGGAUUUAUUGGGCGUAAAGCGAGCGCAGGCGGUUUCUUAAGUCUGAUGUGAAAGCCCCCGGCUCAACCGGGGAGGGUCAUUGGAAACUGGGAGACUUGAGUGCAGAAGAGGAGAGUGGAAUUCCAUGUGUAGCGGUGAAAUGCGUAGAUAUAUGGAGGAACACCAGUGGCGAAGGCGGCUCUCUGGUCUGUAACUGACGCUGAGGCUCGAAAGCGUGGGGAGCGAACAGGAUUAGAUACCCUGGUAGUCCACGCCGUAAACGAUGAGUGCUAAGUGUUGGAGGGUUUCCGCCCUUCAGUGCUGCAGCAAACGCAUUAAGCACUCCGCCUGGGGAGUACGACCGCAAGGUUGAAACUCAAAGGAAUUGACGGGGGCCCGCACAAGCGGUGGAGCAUGUGGUUUAAUUCGAAGCAACGCGAAGAACCUUACCAGGUCUUGACAUCCUUUGACCACUCUAGAGAUAGAGCUUCCCCUUCGGGGGCAAAGU
rnacentral:rRNA from 1 species